GUUUUUGAAGUAUUGAAGCGUACAAAAUGCACAAAGGCUAAGUAUAGUAUGGGGUUCACCAGCCUGCUAGGGAGUGGAGUCUACACAGAUGCCUAUCCACUACAUGAUGGAGAUUUGGAUGGUGAAAACGUUGAGCCCAAUGAUAGGAAGGUGAGUGACAUGAAUAUGGGCAUAUGGGCAUUCCUAAG